AACGAACGCUGGCGGCAGGCCUAACACAUGCAAGUCGAACGAUGUAGCAAUACAUAGUGGCGCACGGGUGAGUAACGCGUGGGAAUGUACCAUUUGGUGGGGAAUAACUCCGGGAAACUGGAGCUAAUACCGCAUACGCCCUUCGGGGGAAAGAUUUAUCGCCAAAUGAUCAGCCCGCGUGAGAUUAGAUAGUUGGUGGGGUAAUGGCCUACCAAGUCGACGAUCUCUAGCUGGUCUUAGAGGAUGACCAGCCACACUGGAACUGAGACACGGUCCAGACUCCUCCGGGAGGCAGCAGUGGGGAAUAUUGCGCAAUGGACGAAAGUCUGACCCAGCCAUGCCGCGUGAGUGAUGAAGGCUCUAGGGUUGUAAAGCUCUUUCGCCGAUGAAGAUAAUGACGGUAGUCGGAGAAGAAGCCCCGGCUAACUUCGUGCCAGCCGCCGCGGUAA
rnacentral:rRNA from 1 species